rnacentral:rRNA from 1 species
ACGACGCUGGCGGCGUGCCUAAUACAUGCAAGUCGAACGGUCUUUCUAUGGAAGCUUGCUUCCACUGAGAAGAUAGUGGCGAACGGGUGAGUAACACGUGGGUAACCUGCCCAUAAGAGGGGGAUAACAUCCGGAAACGGGUGCUAAUACCGCAUAGUUUUCUUGAUCGCAUGAUUGAGAAAGGAAAGACGGCCUUUGUGCUGUCGCUUAUGGAUGGACCCGCGGCGUAUUAGUUAGUUGGUGAGGUAACGGCUCACCAAGACGAUGAUACGUAGCCGACCUGAGAGGGUGAUCGGCCACAUUGGGACUGAGACACGGCCCAAACUCCUACGGGAGGCAGCAGUAGGGAAUCUUCCGCAAUGGACGAAAGUCUGACGGAGCAACGCCGCGUGAGUGAAGAAGGUUUUUCCGGAUCGUAAAACUCUGUUGUCAGAGAAGAACAAGUUGGAGAGUAACUGCUCCAGCCUUGACGGUAUCUGACCAGAAAGCCACGGCUAACUACGUGCCAGCAGCUGC